AUGACUAACUCCGUGCUCGACUCACCACCGCAACUCCCCGCCGCCGGUGCCUGGGGCUGCCUGUACGGUGUGCAAGAACCUUUGAAAUGCCAGCGUGUCCCGGUGCUACCGGCCGCUGCCAAGAAGAAGCAGCCGGCGUACGGGGUCAAGAGGAACCUAGAGAUGUGCACCGAGGCGCUCGGGUGCGAGACCGGCGGCGUCGACACAGCCGCCGCCGAUGUCGACGUGGGCAUGGCGAGGAAGAGGCAUGCCUGGGAGCAGGAGGAGGAGGAGACGAAAGCGGAGCCGAUGGAGCGGAGGGCGCGCGUGCUGCCCCCGCCGCUGACGACGCUGGCGGCCGGCGCGACCCGCAUGCGCAUGGUCCACGAGCGGCGCGACGGGCGGCUGGAAGUGUACGCGGUGCGGACGGCCGGGAUGGAGGCCGAGCGGAGCGGCGGGCGUCUCCGCCUCCGCUUCCUCCCCUGCGCCGCCUGCAAGUGCAAUGCCGCCAAGUGCAGCCAACAGGAAUCGCAGGAAGCAGAGGAACACGAGGCUGGUCUGCGUCAGCGGCCGGAGGACGCACACGUCGUCGCAAAGUACGCGCGCGGUGGGCGGUGCGUGGAGGCGGAAGGUGGCGCGACGGCGGCAAGGCGCGGCGGGAAAUGGGAGCCGGAGCAGGCGGCCGCGUUCUGGGUGGCCAUCACCUGA
rnacentral:rRNA from 1 species